GGUUGAUCGGCCACAUUGGGACUGAGACACGGCCCAAACUCCUACGGGAGGCAGCAGUAGGGAAUCUUCCACAAUGGGCGAAACCCUAAUGGAGCAACGCCGCGUGGGUGAAGAAGGUCUUCGGAUCAUAAAACCCUGUUGUUAGAGAACAAACAAGCGUGAGAGUAACUGUUCACGUUUCGAAAAAAUCUAACCAGAAAGCCACGGCUAACUACGUGCCAGCAGCCGCGGUAAUACGUAGGUGGCAAGCGUUAUCCGGAUUUAUUGGGCGUAAAGGGAACGCAGGCGGUCUUUUAAGUCUGAUGUGAAAGCCUUCGGCUUAACCGGAGUAGUGCAUUGGAAACUGGGAGACUUGAGUGCAGAAGAGGAGAGUGGAACUCCAUGUGUAGCGGUGAAAUGCGUAGAUAUAUGGAAGAACACCAGUGGCGAAAGCGGCUCUCUGGUCUGUAACUGACGCUGAGGUUCGAAAGCGUGGGUAGCAAACAGGAUUAGAUACCCUGGUAGUCCACGCCGUAAACGAUGAAUGCUAAGUGUUGGAGGGUUUCCGCCCUUCAGUGCUGCAGCUAACGCAAUAAGCAUUCCGCCUGGGGAGUACGACCGCAAGGUUGAAACUCAAAGGAAUUGACGGGGGCCCGCACAAGCGGUGGAGCAUGUGGUUUAAUUCGAAGCAACGCGAAGAACCUUACCAGGUCUUGACAUCUUUUGGCAAUCCUAGAGAUAGGACUUUCCCUUCGGGGACAAAAUGACAGGUGGUGCAUGGUUGUCGUCAGCUCGUGUCGUGAGAUGUUGGGUUAAGUCCCGCAACGAGCGCAACCCUUAUUGUUAGUUGCCAGCAUUAAGUUGGGCACUCUAGCAAGACUGCCGGUGACAAACCGGAGGAAGGUGGGGAUGACGUCAAAUCAUCAUGCCCCUUAUGACCUGGGCUACACACGUGCUACAAUGGACGGUACAACGAGUCGCAAGACCGCGAGGUUUAGCAAAUCUCUUAAAGCCGUUCUCAGUUCGGAUUGUAGGCUGCAACUCGCCUACAUGAAGUCGGAAUCGCUAGUAAUC
rnacentral:rRNA from 1 species